rnacentral:lncRNA from 1 species
AAAAUAAUCCGCAACAUUUAUUGUUCAUCCAUGAACUAUAGCAUGCAUUUUAUUUAAAACAAAAGUCCACUCACAGUAUUAGGCCUAAGCCUUCCAAUGCUCGGAAUAUUCCUCGAGCGCUGCCUCUAACUAUUCAUAAUCUCGUGUCAAUCCCACGUCUGACAAAACAGAAGAAUAAAUCGGUCAAACCGGAUUCCGAAAUAAUCAAUGACUCGACUCCUUCCUAGAUUGAUUAGGAUUCCCUAGGUUGACCAAGAUUGACCAAAUGAUUUAAAUAUUAUUAUUUUUUUUUACCAAUUUCACAACCAGAUCUCAUUUUGCUCUUGUUCCGUAACCUCAACUUGGAAACAAGUUCUCAAUGAAUUUCCAAGCCUAUAGAGUGACAACCAAUCUAAUUCACCAUAUCACAAAAACACAGAACAUUUCAAUCACCCAACCGAGCAAAAACUUAAGAGAUUUCUCACCUUGCUAGCACCUUUGCCGGCUUCAGAGGGGAUGGGUACUCUGAGGUUAAGCAUGUUGAUGCGAGAGCAAUCUCAGGAUGGGUGACCUACUGGGAAGCUGCUCCUGAGCUGCUGGAAACAAAACCUUGAGGGCUGGUGGGCCCAAAGCGGACAAUAUCGUGUUACGGCAGAAUGGGUCCUGGGAUGUGACAAAUGGUAUCAGAGCCACUCUGCCGUGUGGUGCGAGUGUGCCGACGAGGGUGUCGGACUCCCAAGGGGGGUGGAUUGUAAUAUCCCACAUCGGCUAAACGGAGAGGGGUUAUGUACUGUAUAUGUACAUGCCCACCUCCAAUCUAACACGAGGUCUUUUUGUGGCUCAGUGGCUUCGGAGGGGAUGGGUUCUCCGAGGUUAAGCAUGUUGAUGCGAGAGCAAUCCCAGGAUGGGUGACCUACUGGGAAGCUGCUCUUGAGCUGCCGGAAACAAAACCGUGAGGGCUGGUGGGCCCAAAGCGGACAAUAUCGUGUUACGACGGAAUGGGUCCUGGGAUGUGACAAGACCUCUUUUAAGAUAAACCCAUACAUAUUUUUCUUUCAUUUUACACCCACCCCACAUAACCAAACUUACUAUAUAGAGCAUAUGUCUUUAAUUAAUAGUUUUCUUCAUUUUUUAGUUUAUCUGAUUUGCCCUUUAGUCUAUAUAAAGCUAAAUUUAGUAUCUUUCUCAAUUUUAGCAUCAAUUUGAAACUCAAAUAUUGAGCUAAAAUUUAGUUGGAUUUAACUUUAUCAUAAUCAAUUAUAUUCUUUAAUUUCUUACCUUGUUAUUACUAACUUGAGUAUAUAUAUCACUACCAGAAGAAAGGCUUUAGCCGACGAAAAAAAAAACCAGGCCGACGAAGCAUUUUUUCGUCGGCUAAGUUAAAUUUUCGUCGGCUAUGGUAAACUUUAGCCGACGAAAAAAAAUUUUCGUCGGCUAAAGAAUUUAUUUCGUCGGCUAAAGUUCACAAACUAUGGCCGACGAAAUAUUUAAAAAGUUUAGCCGACGACAUAUUAAUUCGUCGGCUAAAGUGCUUUAUAUUUGCGGAUCUGGACAGCAGCAGCUCAUCUGGGAAAAAAAA